rnacentral:rRNA from 1 species
AUUGAACGCUGGCGGCAUGCUUUACACAUGCAAGUCGAACGGUAACAGGCCGCAAGGUGCUGACGAGUGGCGAACGGGUGAGUAAUGCAUCGGAACGUGCCCAGUCGUGGGGGAUAACGCAGCGAAAGCUGCGCUAAUACCGCAUACGAUCUGUGGAUGAAAGCGGGGGACCGAAAGGCCUCGCGCGAUUGGAGCGGCCGAUGUCAGAUUAGGUAGUUGGCGGGGUAAAGGCCCACCAAGCCAACGAUCUGUAGCUGGUCUGAGAGGACGACCAGCCACACUGGGACUGAGACACGGCCCAGACUCCUACGGGAGGCAGCAGUGGGGAAUUUUGGACAAUGGGCGCAAGCCUGAUCCAGCAAUGCCGCGUGCAGGAAGAAGGCCUUCGGGUUGUAAACUGCUUUUGUACGGAACGAAAUGGCUCUGGUCAAUACCUGGGGCUAAUGACGGUACCGUAAGAAUAAGCACCGGCUAACUACGUGCCAGCAGCCGCAGUAACAC